rnacentral:rRNA from 1 species
UACGUAGGGCGCGAGCGUUGUCCGGAUUUAUUGGGCGUAAAGAGCUCGUAGGCGGCUUGUCGCGUCGAAUGUGAAAUCUCAGGGCUCAACUCUGACAUUGCAUUCGAUACUGGCAGGCUCGAGUUCGGUAGGGGAGACUGGAAUUCCUGGUGUAGCGGUGAAAUGCGCAGAUAUCAGGAGGAACACCGGUGGCGAAGGCGGGUCUCUGGGCCGAUACUGACGCUGAGGAGCGAAAGCGUGGGGAGCGAACAGG